UACGUAGGGCGCGAGCGUUGUCCGGAAUCAUUGGGCGUAAAGAGCUCGUAGGCGGCCGGUUGCGUCUGCUGUGAAAUCCCGGGGCUUAACCCCGGGCGUGCAGUGGAUACGGGCUGGCUGGAGGCAGGCAGGGGAGAAUGGAAUUCCCGGUGUAGCGGUGAAAUGCGCAGAUAUCGGGAGGAACACCGGCGGCGAAGGCGGUUCUCUGGGCCUGUGCUGACGCUGAGGAGCGAAAGCGUGGGGAGCGAACAGG
rnacentral:rRNA from 1 species